ensembl:lncRNA
ACAGUGAGACUGCACUUCACACUCACUAGAAUGUCGUGAGGAUAUGGAAAAAUUGGUAUCCUCACACAUUGUUGAUAGGAAUGUGAAAAAAUGAAGCCACUUUGGGAAACAAUUUCUCACUUGCUCAAAGGGUUAAACAUAGAUUUAUCAUCUGACCAUCAAUUCCAUUGCUAGCUAUAAACCCAAGGAAAAUGAAAACAGAUCCACCUAAGCCUUGGACAAAUGAUCAUAACAGCCAAAAAGUGUAAACAACUCAAAUUUCUAUUAACUGAUGAAUGGGUGAACAAAGUUAUUCUCACAAUGGACAUACAAUGUUGAAUAAAAAAUGCUGAGAACAGAUAUACCUGUCACUUCUUGACCCUUGGGUGAAAUCAUUCAUUUUUUUCAUUGUUAACUAUGUUGUUAGCUGUGGGGUUUUUUAACAUGCUCUUUAUCUGGUUAAAGUUUCCCCUAUUCACAGGUUGUUAAGCAUUCUUAUCAUGCAAGAGUACUGGAUAUUGUCAAAUGUUUUUUCUGCAUCUAUUAACAUGGUCACAUGUUUUUGGUUCCUUUUUUAGUAAUGUGGUAUAUUACACUAAUAGAUUAUCAGAUGUCAUGACCAAGUGGGAUUCAUCCCAAGUUCACAAGUAUGGUUCAACAUAUGCAAAUCAAUCAGUAUGAUACACUAUAUAGCAAAAAAAAAAAAGAGAGAGAGAGAGAGAAACAACAUGAUCAUCUCAAUAGAUGUAGGAAAGCAUUUGACAGAGUUCAACAUCCAUUCAUGAUAAAAACUCUUACCAAAUUGGGUAAAGAGUGAACAUAUCUCAAUAUAAUUAAAGCCAUUUAUGACAAACCCACAGCUAAUAUAACAUUCAAUGGAAAAUAGCUGAAAACCUACCUGCUAAAAUUUGGAACAAUACAAGGAUUAUUUUAUUCAAAACAAUGAAACCACUAUCAUUACUUUUAUUCAAUGUAGUAUUGGAAGCCCUAGCCACAAAAUCAGAACAAAAAAAAAAAACCCCAAAAAAAAGAAACACUAAGGACUUCACAAAAACUACUCAAUCUGAUCAAUGAACUCAGCAAAGUAGCAGGAUACAAGAUUAACAUUCAGAAAUUAGAUGCAUUUCUGUAAGCUAACAGUGAAAUAUUAGAAAAGGAAUAUAAAAAUUUUAUUUUAAAUUUACACCCCCCAAAAUAAAAUACCUAGGAAUAAACAUGAAUAAGGAGGUGAAGAACUAAGAACUAAGUUAAGAACUAUAAAACAUUAAUAAAGGAAAUUAAAGAGACUUUCAAGAAAUUGAAAGAUAUCUCAUGCUUCUGGACUAGAAGAAUUAGUAUUGUUAAAAUGGCCAUACUACCCAAAGCAGUUUACAGAUUUAAUGUGAUCCCCAUCAAAUUAUCAAUGACAUUUUUCACAGAGCCAGAAAAAGUAACCCAAAAAUUCAUAUGGAACAAUAGAAGACCCAGAAUUGCCAAAUCAAUCCUGAGGAACAAAAACCAAGCUGGAGGCAUAACUCUCCAAGACUUCAGGCAAUACUGCAAAGCUACAGUAAUCAAGACAAUAUGGUAUUGGUACCAAAACUGAUAUACAGACCAAUGGAUCAGAAUAGAGAACACCAAAAUAAACCCAGACACUAUGGUCAAUUAAUCUUUGACAAAGAAGACAAGAAUAUAAAAUGGGAAAAAGAGAGUCUUUUUAGCAGGUGGUGCUGGGAAAACUGGACAGCUGCAUGUAAAUCAAUAAAACUGGAACACACCCUCAUACCAUGCUCAAAAAUAAAGUCAAUUGGCUUAAAAACUUAAACAUAAGACAGGACACCAUAAAACUCUUAGAAGAAAACAGGCAAAACAUUCUCUGACAUCAACCAUACAAACAUUUUCUUAGGUCAAUCCCUCAAGGCAAUAUAAUAAAAACAAAAAUAAAUGAAAGAACCUAAUCAAACUUACAAGGUUUUGCACAGAAUAGGAAACCAUUUAUUUAAAAAAAAAAUAACACAUCCUACAGAGUGGGAGAAACUAGUUGCAAACAAUGCAAAUGACAAGGGCUUAAUCUCCAUAUUAUAAAAACAGCUCAUACAACACAACAACAAGAACAACAAUAAAACAAAUAAUUCAAUCAAAAAAUGGGCAGAAGACUUAGACAUUUCUCAAGAAGACAUAUGGAUUGCCAAUAGGCACAUGAAAAGAAGCUUAACAUCACUAAUUAUUAGAGAAAUGCAAAGCAAAACUACAAUGAUGUACCACUUCAUACCAGUCAGAAUGGACAUUAUUAAUAGCCUACAAAUAACAAAUGUUAGAGAGGGUAUGGAGAAAGGAGAACCCUUCUAUACAGUUAGCAAUAAAAACUGGUACAAUCACUGUGGAAAAUAGAAUGGAGUUUCCUCAGAAAACCUAAAAUUGAACAUCCAUAACAUCCAGAAAUCCCACUCCUGGGCUUAAAUCCAGACAAACCAUAAUUCAAAAAGGUACAUGCAUGUCACCCAUGUUAACUGCAGCAAUAUUCACAACAGCCAAGACAUGGAAACAACCUAAAUGUCCAUCAACACAUGAAUGGAUUAAGAUAUGGUAUGUAUAUACAAUGGGGUACUACUCAACCAUUAAAAAAAGUAUGAAAUAAUGCCAUUUGCAGCAACAUGGGUGAAACUAGGGAUUCUCAUACUAAAUGAAGUAAGUCAGAAAGAGAAAGGCAAAUAACAUAUGAUAUCACUUAUAUGUGGAAUCUAAAAUAUAGCACACAUGAAACUAUCUACAAAACAGAAACAGACUCACAGUCAUAGCGUACAAGCUUGUGGUUGCCAAAGGGGAGGAGGAAGAGAGUAGGAUGGACUGGUAGUUUGGGUUUAGUAGAUGCAACCAUUGCAUUUAAAAUGGAGAAUGGUAAGCAAUGAGGUUCUGCUAUAUAGCACAGGGAAUUAUAUACAAUCUUUUGGGAUAGACCAUGAUAGAAGCAAUAUAAGAAAAGGAAUGUGUGUGUGGGGGGGCACAACAUACACAAAAUUGGCACAACAUUCUAAAUCAACUAUACUUUAAUAAAAAUUAACUUAAAAAUUAAAAAUUAGAUUAUUGGAUGUUAAGCCAAUCCUGUAUUCCUGGAAUAAACUCCACCUGCUAAGGGUAUAUACCUUGUACAUAUUGCUGAACUUGAUUUCAUAGCAUGCUGUUGAGGAUAUUUGCUUAUAUAUUCAUAAGAUAUGUUGACUUGUAUUUUUCUUUCAUUGUAAUAUUGUGGUCUGGUUUUGUAUUAAGGAAAUAUUGGAAUAAUGGAAUGUGAUGGGAAGGUUUCUCUGCUAUAGUUCCUACUAUUUAUUGAGUGUCUGUAUAACUCACUUAUUACAAUAACUAUUAAAAGCUUUGAAUUAUAAAAUAUUUGCUAAAAUUACAAAUAAUAAUGUAACAGACAGCUGUGUAGUUUUCAUCUAAACUUGAGGUAUAUUUGCCUUUCUUAUUCAGUCUUUUAUUUAUUGCACAUGCAUGUGUCCCUAAAAACAAAACAACAUAACAUCUUUGUAUACAAAUAUUAAAAUCAAUACCAUAUUAAUAGGAAAGCAAACCCAGAGAGUUUUUGUGACUCUUCCAAAGUUGCUUAGCUAGUAACUAGAAACAAAGCCCAAAUUUGACCACUAGAUAAAAUGUUUUAAAUUCUUAAAAAAUUAAAUUUUUAUACAAUUUUAAAGUUCCUUUCCACUUAUAAUUCUUAAAAAAUAUUUGCUAUAUUCCCCAUAUUGUACAAUAAAUCCUUGAGCCUAUCUUACACCCAGUAGUUUGUACCUCCCACUCCUCCACUUUUAUAUAUUGCCCUUCCUCACCUUCUCAGGGAUUUGUAAAAUUGCUAAUAUAAUUUUGUUAAAGGUAUAUUAAGAUUUUCUCUUUUUUUGAGUCAGUUUCAGUCAUUAUUUACUUCUAGGGUUUUGUUUGUCUAUUUUUUCCAUGUUAUCUAACUCUUGGCAUUCAGUGGUUUUCUAGUUUCCUCAUAAUCCUUUUUAUUCCUAAAAUAGUAAUCAUGUCCUUCUUUUAUUUUUGAUUUUAAUUAUUUGGGUCACCUCCUUAUUUUCUUGGUUAGUCCUACUAAACAUUUGUCAACUUUGUUGGUAUAGUUAAAAAUUUAUUUUUAUUUUUAUUUUUCUAUACCUCUACACAAAAUCUCC